CGUUGAAUAGCGGGCUACGGGAGCGGCGGCGCAUUACCACUGCGGCCGCUGAUCGUCGCGACGGUCGUCCCGGCGAUCGUCGCGGCGUUCGUCAC
rnacentral:tRNA from 1 species